GCUGGGUUCAGUGGCACACACCUGUAAUCCCAGCAUCUUGGGAGGCUGAAACAGGAGGAUCACAUGUUGGAGGCCAGCCUCAGCCAGAGCAAGGCGCUAAGCAACUCAGUGAGACCCUGUCUCUA
rnacentral:sRNA from 1 species